UACGGGGGGAGCAAGCGUUGUUCGGAUUUACUGGGCGUAAAGGGCGCGUAGGCGGCCAGCACAAGUCAGUUGUGAAAUCUCCGAGCUUAACUCGGAAAGGUCAACUGAUACUGUGCGGCUAGAGUGCGGAAGGGGCAACUGGAAUUCUUGGUGUAGCGGUGAAAUGCGUAGAUAUCGAGAGGAACACCGGUGGCGAAGGCGGCUUCCUGGACAGUGACUGACGCUGAGAUGCGAAAGCGUGGGGAGCAAACAGG
rnacentral:rRNA from 1 species